rnacentral:tRNA from 1 species
GCCUGGGUGGUUCAGUGGUUGAGCAUCUGCCUUUGACCCAGGUCAUGAUCCCAGGGGCCUGGGAUCGAGUCCCAUAUCAGGCU